rnacentral:lncRNA from 1 species
AGUAAAUUAGAAUGUAUGCACAUUAGAAUUUCAUACCCUUAAUCAUGAAAAUUAUAGUUUUGCCCUUUAGAGUAUACUUUACUUGAAACUUUGCCGAAAUAAAUUUAAAAAGCUUUCUAUCAUUCUCUACUAUAAAUUUUAUCUCGUUGUUAAUCUUUGAGAGUUGUUUUGACCAUAUUUUUCUAAUGUAUCAUGAAUGUAUCGAGGGUGUGCCAUUCCUUAAUGAUGUAUCAAGUUAAUUUGCAUU